UUUGAAAGGACAGACACAGGAAGUGUCCACGCUCAGCAGUCAGACAGGAGUCAGGUUAAUUUCCAGGGCUGGUACCUGCGGUUAUUCCACAGGCUAGUUAAUAACAUGUCGGGCAGGUGAAGAGAAGGUGAAGGACGAACCCAAGGUGAUAUGUAAACUCAUCUUCAUUGGUCGACUACAAACAUGACGUAUCAUCUGAAACAUGGAAGUAGCUACAUGCCCAUUAGCCCACAGCGUCAUUAACAGGCGGCUCGCUCAGUGUGUGACGUGCACUUGGAGAUAAAAUAUAGGCCUAUAUUAAUGAAGGCUGGCUAAUGGACCUAAAUGAUGACUAUUGGUUGACUAGGAAAAGUCUUAGUCGUGGGGCAGCUCUACAGAAAGCAUGGCAUGUGUACGGCCCCCAAAUGAUGUCAACUGCACAACAUCUACAUCUCUUUGCAUGCUAACGUUAGCUAACAUCAUUAGCCUCAAUAAGCUGCUGGUCAUUUCACCUGCCAAAAGUUACAUAAAGUCAUUUAAAGCAUCACUGUGUUAAAUCGUAUUUCCAUUCCUUGACACGUCCUCUAAGAUCAGUUUCAGUUGCAGGUUUGUUGUGACGUUAAGUCUCUGCAAAUACAUUCUCUCAGUUGCAGAUGAAUCCUGACAAUCUUUAUCACACCGACUGACACAUCUGUGAUCCAUGUUUGAAGAAAGGCUGGUACUUGGAUUUACCUUGAUAUCCCUGUGUUUGAAAUGAGAUACAUGUUUACUCGUGGACCAGGCGGAUCCUCUCUCUAUCCAUGGAGGGCUUCUUUUUGGACACCACACUCCUCAACAAACCAAUGACACUACAUUUCUUCAAAUCUUUGUCCUGGAUUUCUGCUGAAGUCGCAGGCGUGCAAACAAAAAUGAGAGAUGAAAUGUUCAGUGUUUGAUUUCCUGUUGAAAUCUAUAAAAUAUAUAUAUACUUUACAAGAUGGAAACUGAUAUGACUGAAAAAAUAAAAAAAAGUUUGUAUUAUGUCUUUUAUUUUUUCUGUCCCACCUUCGGAGAUUGUCUGCGAAAGCCAGAUCAAACUUAACAACCGCUCAGUGCGUCCAGACUUUGUUUCAUUCCAGCUGAAGACCAGUUUGUGCGUCUCAGAGCAGAGCUGAGGGGUUUUUGUGUCUGCCGCACUUGUUUGUUUGAGGUAAACUUUGGAAAUAGGGGGUGAGAUAGCUCUGCGGCUAGGACAGAGAGAUACUAGAGGGUGCCAGGCAGCCAAAUUACCUUGUCCUACAGUCACCCUCGCCGCCAACCAGGCAGAAAUGGAUUCCAUUUCCGCUCUGAGGUGAACAACAGAUUGGAGAAAUAAGCCCAAAUAACCAUCGAUAUCUGUUCAGGAGGAGGGAGGCUGACAUUUAUCACUGAGGGAAAGACUCGUAGAGGGUUGGAUCUGUGUGUGUGUGUGUGUGUGUGUGUGUGUGUGUGUGUGUGUGUGUGUG